rnacentral:rRNA from 1 species
AUACGUGACUGGGCGCAGCCUGCUCCGCCUUGCCGCGUGAGUUGACGAAGGUCUUCGGAUCGUAAAGCUCUUUUGGCGGGGACGAUAAUGACGGUACCCGCAGAAUAAGCCCCGGCCAACUCCGUGCCAGCAGCCGCGGUAAUACGAAGGGGGCUAGCGUUGUUCGGAAUCACUGGGCGUAAAGCGCACGUAGGCGGACUCUUAAGUCAGGGGUGAAAUCCCGGGGCUCAACCUCGGAACUGCCUUUGAUACUGAGAGUCUCGAGACCGGAAGAGGUGAGUGGAAUCCCUAGUGUAGAGGUGAAAUUCGUAGAUAUUAGGAAGAACACCAGUGGCGAAGGCGGCUCACUGGUCCGGUCCUGACGCUGAGGUGCGAAAG